GACGAACGCUGGCGGCGUGCUUAACACAUGCAAGUCGAACGAAGUGGCGAACGGGUGAGUAACGCGUAAUCAACCUGCCCUUCAGAGGGGGACAACAGUUGGAACCGACUGCUAAUACCGCAUACUGAAGGAGGGGAUUGCGUCUGAUUAGCUAGUUGGAGGGGAAACGGCCCACCAAGGCGAUGAUCAGUAGCCGGUGUGAGAGGAUGAACGGCCACAACGGGACUGGGACACUGCCCAGACUCCUACGGGAGGCAGCAAGGGGGAAUCUUCCGCAAUGGACGGAAGUCUGACGGAGCAACGCCGGGGGAGUUAUGACGGCCUUCGGGUUGUAAAGCUCUGUUAAUCGGGACGCGGUACCGGAAGAGAAAGCCACGGCUAACUACGUGCCAGCAGCCGCGGUAAUAC
rnacentral:rRNA from 1 species